AGAAAAAGCCAUCCUCAGCGCAUUCUAUAUGACAUAUAUAUAUAAUUUAUUUCCCCUAUAUAUAUAAAGCUCUGAAACCUGAGAACUCUCCAGACCAGAGGUGACUCGGCCAUUAAAAAAUUGCAACAAAAGCAACGUAAGCUAAACUAAUCAAGCUGUUUCCCGGCGAUCCUGACGGCGUUUUCCAGUUUGAUGGACCCUCACGUAGCCAGCAACCAAACAGAUGGCCAAUGGACAAACGAGAAGCAUCUCCAUUUCAUAAACUCAAUGGAGGCAACUUUUGUCCGCACAAUGCUCGAAAAUAACGGUCGUUUCCUCCGUCUCGACCGUUACUUGCCGGACAGCUCAGAAUCGACCUUAGAUUUGAAAUCGCAGAGACCAAAAAAGCAUAAAAUCUCAGUGUUUUUCAGUUAGCUCUUGUUGGAGUUACCGAGGCUUGUUUGGCUGUUUUUCUUUUUCCAAUAAAAUUGCCCGCUGGAGUUUAAUUUGAAGCCUAACAUGCAAAAUGCGAAAUUCAGUUUUUAAGUUUUGACCAGCCGUCCAAACACACCCUGCAAAGAACAUUUAAAAUGUCGAACAUGCCAUUUGAAUUGAAGAUAUUUCUUUGUGGGGAUGGUACAGUCAUUCACUUUUGCACUUUUUGAUGAUUUCUUUAAAAAAAGAAUAAAAAAAUUGUGGGUUUUGUUGUGUUAGAUCAUAUGGUUGGUCCAAGAAGCAGAAUGGACGGCAGGACCGACCGGAAAGCAAGAAAAUUAUCAUCUCACCGCCACGAUCCAUCACAACAAGAUCAGGUGGUCCCACAGCUGGAGAACAGAGGUGGUGUUAAAGACGAAAGAGACCCUCUUAACGUGGCUGUUGCAUCUGCCAAUAGCAAUUGAGAGAGAUUCUUCAUCUAGCUCAGCUAGCCAGUGCAGUGCUUCUUUUCUUUUAUUUUUUACUUUUUUAUAUAGUAUUAAUAUUAUUAGGUAAUACCAGGAGCAAUAUUACCUAAUAGUAGGAGAAUAGUUUAAUUGGCUAAUAUUAUUAGGAGCGAUCUCAUGAUCUAGACAAGGAUUUAAUGUUUUGUGCAAAUUAGUAUCCUUUUUGUGAUUUUUUAUAUGGUUUUUAUUUUGUUACUGUACGGUCGGUCCCAUUAAAAAGUAAGUUAGGAUUAUCAAAUUGUUGAUCAUUAUUUAUAUAUUAUAAAAUUAUGAAUUUGUAUAAAACUUUUGUUAGUAAAAAGGCUGACGAGGAGAGAAGGAAUAAGGAGGAAUGGAGGAUAGAGACGUCAAUCUUAAUCUGUUUAUGUAGAUGAUAAAGUUGGUUGCUUAAUCUUUUCAUAAAAUAAUAAUGCAAAGCCAAUGCCACUUCUUAUGAUUAUGAUGAGAAAUGCUACCUUAUUUUAUUCA